GAUGAACGCUGGCGGCGUGCCUAAUACAUGCAAGUCGAGCGAACGGACGAGAAGCUUGCUUCUCUGAUGUUAGCGGCGGACGGGUGAGUAACACGUGGAUAACCUACCUAUAAGACUGGGAUAACUUCGGGAAACCGUAGCUAAUACCGGAUAAUAUUUUGAACCGCAUGGUUCAAAAGUGAAAGACGGUCUUGCUGUCACUUAUAGAUGGAUCCGCGCUGCAUUAGCUAGUUGGUAAGGUAACGGCUUACCAAGGCAACGAUGCAUAGCCGACCUGAGAGGGGGAUCGGCCACACUGGAACUGAGACAGGGUCAGAACCCCUACGGGGGGCAGCAGUGGGAAACCUUCCGAAAGGGGCAAAGGCCUACCGAGGCAACGCGGCGUGGGUGAUGAAGGUCUUCGAAGCGUAAAACCCUGUAUUAGGGAAGAACAUAUGUGUAAGUAACUGUGCACAUCUUGACGGUACCUAAUCAGAAAGCCACGGCUAACUACGUG
rnacentral:rRNA from 1 species